UGAAGAUGCAAGCUUCCCUCUCUUCCUGUUUGGUAUAAUUGACAAUGUGUGAUAGGGCGUGAGAGCUCCCACUACAGGACUUCCCAGCUGCAAUUUACUCAAGGUUCUUUUAUUAAUUUCCACAAGUGGUAUAGCAAAAUAACCGCAACAAAAAAGAAAGCUCUAAAAGACCCCUGGCUCACCUGCUGGAUAAGUGAAAGCCUAUUAAUAAGAGACAGAGGCUUGCUUAUGUAAUGAAGUCCUGCAGAGAACAGCAAAGACACAUGAAAAUAAGGCUCCGUUUUCCCCUGGCUUCAGGGAAGGAAGCUCUGGUAGAAGGGAAGAGAGCAGCAUCGGCAGUGUGCUGGAGCCCCCUCGUAGUGGCUGGCAAGAACGGAUUGUGAAAAUCUCAUUCAUUUUUCAAGUGUUGUCUCUAGCAGUGCGGCUGCUCCUCUGUGGCUCCAGCUCUGGGUGGAGAACUUUCCAGUGAGGUCCUGGCUCCCAACAGUCUCCGUGUUUCCACAGAGAGUGGUUGGCUCUUUGGGUGCAAAUGAAGACAAGCUGGAAUGAUGGGUGUCCUUGAAGGAAGGUGAUCUGAGAAAGCCUGGAAGCUUUUUCUUUUGGACAGUUUUUAAGCCUCCAGUAGUACUCUGGCAAACAAUUUGGAUCAUGGGGACCAAGCUAGGAUAAAUUAGACUGGAGUGGUCAGUCAACUUAGCAGCUAC
rnacentral:lncRNA from 1 species